UACGUAGGGUGCGAGCGUUGUCCGGAAUUAUUGGGCGUAAAGGGCUCGUAGGCGGUCUGUCGCGUCGGGAGUGAAAACUCAGGGCUUAACCCUGAGCCUGCUUCCGAUACGGGCAGACUAGAGGUAUGCAGGGGAGAACGGAAUUCCUGGUGUAGCGGUGGAAUGCGCAGAUAUCAGGAGGAACACCGGUGGCGAAGGCGGCAUCCUGGACCGGCAUUGACGCUGAGGCGCGAAAGCCAGGGGAGCAAACGGG
rnacentral:rRNA from 1 species